rfam:Glycine soja cultivar W05 scaffold1482_32, whole genome shotgun sequence.
AUGCUUACAUGGACGAGGUCAAUGGGUAAUCAUGAAGGCUUAUGGCCUAGGGCAGUGACCUCCAUUGCACUUUGAAGGGGUGCUGCUCUAAGGUCUGCCCAAGUGACAGAGCCUACAUCAUAAUUUGAGCUAGAGGGGACCUGCGUUUGUGUGGCCCCUAU